UACGUAGGGUGCGAGCGUUAAUCGGAAUUACUGGGCGUAAAGCGUGCGCAGGCGGUUUUGUAAGACAGAGGUGAAAUCCCCGGGCUCAACCUGGGAACUGCCUUUGUGACUGCAAGGCUUGAGUGCGGCAGAGGGGGAUGGAAUUCCGCGUGUAGCAGUGAAAUGCGUAGAUAUGCGGAGGAACACCGAUGGCGAAGGCAGCCCCCCUGGGCUAACACUGACGCUCAGGCACGAAAGCGUGGGGAGCAAACAGG
rnacentral:rRNA from 1 species